GGGGAACCUGAUCCAGCCAUGCCGCGUGUGUGAAGAAGGCCCUCGGGUUGUAAAGCACUUUCAGCGAGGAAGAACGCCUAGCGGUUAAUACCCGCUAGGAAAGACAUCACUCGCAGAAGAAGCACCGGCUAACUCCGUGCCAGCAGCCGCGGUAAUACGGAGGGUGCAAGCGUUAAUCGGAAUUACUGGGCGUAAAGCGCGCGUAGGUGGCUUGAUAAGCCGGUUGUGAAAGCCCCGGGCUCAACCUGGGAACGGCAUCCGGAACUGUCAAGCUAGAGUGCAGGAGAGGAAGGUAGAAUUCCCGGUGUAGCGGUGAAAUGCGUAGAGAUCGGGAGGAAUACCAGUGGCGAAGGCGGCCUUCUGGACUGACACUGACACUGAGGUGCGAAAGCGUGGGUAGCAAACAGGAUUAGAUACCCUGGUAGUCCACGCCGUAAACGAUGUCGACCAGCCGUUGGGUGCCUAGCGCACUUUGUGGCGAAGUUAACGCGAUAAGUCGACCGCCUGGGGAGUACGGCCGCAAGGUUAAAACUCAA
rnacentral:rRNA from 1 species